GUCCCUGUCAAUGUUCUUAGCCCAUCAUGUAAAAUUAUGACAGCCAACGUUAACAGUCUGAUCCGAAAUAUAAACUUGUAAAACAUUAUCGCGAAAUAAGAUUCAUUUAUUAACUGAUGGUUUUGGUGGAAAGUUUUUGUAUUCAGCAGCCAUCCAUAUAACUCCAAAUGCCCAGGCCAUUGCUAGACCAAGACAAUUGUACAUCAUUGGUAUUUUGCUAAAUGUAGCACCAGCCAGUACACGUGCAACAAUUACGCCGAGAUUUAAGCUAGCAAAUCCCAGACUUUGAUAAAACGUGGCACUAU